UCGCACUGCUAUUUUUUCUCCCUUGUGACUGUCACCUUCACCUCUCUGAAGCACCGUGAAGGACUGCGCACUCUGAUUCCAUUUUUUGGAGCCCCUGCUAAAGCUUUGCUGCAAAAUAUCAGCUGCCAGCAUGUGGCUGUGUGUCGUGAUUUACCAGUGGGUGAGGCUACAGGUGAAGGAUGUGGACUCGCGGUGGGGACAACGCACUUAGCAAGGCGAGCCUGACCUGAGGGCUGAGCGGUUGUGGCGAGAAGGAAAACCCUGAACGCAGCUGGCCAGCCACAGAGUUCUUUGAAUUUGAGCGUGUCAUUGAAAAGUCUGUGAAAUGAAUGACCGAUACCCAAGACAGGCUUCCUGGGACCAUCUAGUGCUGAUCUCUGCAGCCUCACCUUUCCUUCCUGCCUCCAGUGGUCCAUCCCUGCCCCCAGGGUGACCUGUCUGCUCCUGAGAGCCCAUGGCCACGCCAUCUGCGGGCCUCCGAGGCAACCACCCCCACUACCACUGCUGUUUCCAUAUUGCUAAACCUCGAAAGCUUUCUCUUCCACAAAUCCUUCCCUGAUCAUUCCAGGAUGCUGGCCGUGAUGCGUGCGCGCGAGGAAACAUCCCUGGCUCACUGCGCUUCCACCUGCGUUCAGAGCGGAAGAAGAGAGCAAGAAAAUAACGUAGGAAAGUACUUCUGCCAGUCUGCCCCGACUAGACUACCUGCUCUGGUUCCUACGGGUUUGUGGUGCUCAGUGCAGAAAGCUCUUAUUUUCCCUAGCCCCAGUACUGUAAACAAACUAUUCUUCCAAAGCUGUGAGGGAAUCUCGCUGAGGCGCUCAGCGCCUGGGCGGGCUGGACCUGCAACUGCCUGCCUUCUCCCCCAGGUUUAGGGUUCCGGGCGUGCACCAGUGGACCUGCCUAUUACGCGCUCUUUAGUACUGGCUUGGCUACAGCACAGUGCAUGGUACUUAGAGCGCAGUUCAUAUUUACUAAACAGACGAAGAAACAAAGAUUAUAUGGUUAACUGAAAUUGAUUAAUUGCACAGACUGUCAAAUUAUAGAAAUUCAAGAACCUAGGCAAUGUCUGUCUUGUUGUUUUACUGCCCGACGCUUAUUGUAGGAGACAGAAACACUUUAGUUGGAAGUCUUAGUGAGAGUUGUGCUUUCUCCAAACACCAUUAUAAAGGAGUUUCAUCACACUGAUAUCGCAAAUUCUUAUUAAUGAACUCUAAAUGUAAUGUCUGCACUGGCUGUCAAGAAAGAA